UACAGAGGGUGCGAGCGUUAUUCGGAAUUAUUGGGCGUAAAGGGCGCGUAGGCGGCCUUUCAAGUGACGGGUGAAAUCCCUCGGCUUAACCGAGGAACUGCCUGUCAGACUGGAAGGCUUGAGACCGGGAGAGGUGAGUGGAAUUCCCAGUGUAGCGGUGAAAUGCGUAGAUAUUGGGAGGAACACCAGUGGCGAAGGCGGCUCACUGGACCGGUACUGACGCUGAGGCGCGAGAGCGUGGGGAGCGAACCGG
rnacentral:rRNA from 1 species